GAUGAACGCUGGCGGCGUGCCUAAUACAUGCAAGUCGAGCGAACAGACGAGGAGCUUGCUCCUCUGACGUUAGCGGCGGACGGGUGAGUAACACGUGGAUAACCUACCUAUAAGACUGGGAUAACUUCGGGAAACCGGAGCUAAUACCGGAUAAUAUAUUGAACCGCAUGGUUCAAUAGUGAAAGACGGUUUUGCUAUCACUUAUAGAUGGAUCCGCGCCGCAUUAGCUAGUUGGUAAGGUAACGGCUUACCAAGGCGACGAUGCGUAGCCGACCUGAGAGGGUGAUCGGCCACACUGGAACUGAGACACGGUCCAGACUCCUACGGGAGGCAGCAGUAGGGAAUCUUCCGCAAUGGGCGAAAGCCUGACGGAGCAACGCCGCGUGAGUGAUGAAGGUCUUCGGAUCGUAAAACUCUGUUAUUAGGGAAGAACAAAUGUGUAAGUAACCAUGCACGUCUUGACGGUACCUAAUCAGAAAGCCACGGCUAACUACGUG
rnacentral:rRNA from 1 species